rnacentral:rRNA from 1 species
AUUAUUGAUCUUAAACGAGGAAUUCCUUGUAGGCGCAGGUCAUCAGCCUGCGCCGAAUACGUCCCUGCCCUUUGUACACACCGCCCGUCGCUCCUACCGAUUGAAUGGUCCGAUGAAAUGUCCGGAUCGCGGUUAUUGUGAUGGACUAGUCCAGAGCGGUAGCUGUGAGAAGCUCAUUAAAUCUUAUCAUUUAGAGGAAGGAGAAGUCGUAACAAGGUUUCCGUAGGUGAACCUGCGGAAGGAUCAUU